GACGAACCGAGCGAACGUUAUUCGGAAUCACUGGGCUUAAAGGGCGCGUAGGCGGGCGAUCAAGUCAGGGGUGAAAGCCCCCAGCUCAACUGGGGAAGUGCCUCUGAUACUGGUCAUCUCGAGGGAGGUAGGGGCGUGCGGAACUUCCGGUGGAGCGGUGAAAUGCGUAGAUAUCUAUUGGAAUGCCGAUGGUGAAGACGAGCGACUGGGCCUGCAUUGACGCUGAGGCACGAAAGCGUGGGGAGCAAACAGG
rnacentral:rRNA from 1 species